CCGACAUAUUGUGCUGUUUGUGGGAGCUUGACCAGCAAUUUCGCAUUUCUUCCAGCUGAACGUGGACGAACGUCAAGUUCAAUGGAAAACCUCAACUUUUGGGCAAGUCUCAAAGGCACCUUACAGUGAUUUUGAAGAUGAUUAGGAUUGUUGUUGUGAAGACAACCGCAGCACAACAUCGUACUGUAGGUGUGAUCGCAUACGCGCUUGGGUUUCAUGAUCAUUUUUUGUGUGAUCGACGGCCAUCAAAAACGACGACGACGACGACGACGACGAGUGUCCUUGACCGGCUCGCGCUUUCCCACCGCCACGGCGUCUUGCACUAAAAGGUCGUCCCUCUCGAAGGCUUCCGCCGUGUCGUCUGACAUCGUCAAGAUGGGCCUCCUCAUGUCUGGACUUCCAGGGAGGAGAAGACUCUGACCGUCGGUGCAUUGGCGCUGGAGCUGUUGUUUGAUGGCCCUCCAGCACGAGCUAUUGGAACGCCGCUGAGCCACUGAGUUGAUGAGCUUCCACGCAGGCGACCGCUUCAUCAUGGAAGCCUCCUCCUGGGCUGGAUCCAAACCUUGAGUCUCCUACAGGGACCACAGCAAAAGCAAAUAGGGGCCGAGCCCUCCCACAAAUGCUAGCACAAAUUAUGCCAAUUAAGCGCAGUGCCCUUUCAUCAUGGUGUCUGAUGAUGACGGGUUGCUCUGACCUCUUCGGUGUCUCCUCUGCAUCAAACUGCUCCAUAAGCAUCUAACACAGAAGACAAGUGACCGGACGAAGACAACCUGCCGAGUGUAUUAUUUCUUUACGGCAGGACGCUGUGCAGCAUUUGGGCGACCACGUGAUGGUCCAGACCGGGAGCAGUCUGAGGGCCGGGGUCAUCGGGCACGUGCGAUUGAAGGGACUGUUCGCUCGACAUCACGACCUGGACACACAAAGGCGGUGCUGGGCCUUCUCAGU